GAACAAGUAAAUGAUGUUAUUGAACGAGUGAAUAGCUUCACCUUUGGACAUGAUGACAGGUUAGUUGCUUACCAAUCCAUUGGACAUGCAUUCAUACAUUUAUGAUUGGGCAUAGUAGAAUAGCUUCAUUUCCGUCAUUUACAGCUCCUUAUCUAUAUAUCUAUCUGUCUAUCCAUCUAUUGGUAUUUCUACUUGUGCCCGCUUGGACCUAGUGGGGAGAUCGGCGGAGUCGGCGGCCGAACCCACUGGGAACUAAGGAAGUUAGUUCUCACCCCCAUUUUUACCACAGGUUCCAGUUCGGGUGUCCCCGGUGAGCGUGAGGAUCGCGGUAAGGGCCCGGCGUUCUAGUUGCACUAGCUACCUCCCUUUUGCAUUACCAGUCACCCCUUUUUGUAUUUGAGAGUAGUUGUUGUAUAGGGUGAGGGUUGAGUGCUUGUAUUCAUACUUUGGAAGAAUGUAAAAGAUGUAUCUAAAUGCAGUAAAUCAAAUGAAUGUAAUAGAUAGUCUCUUCUCUCUUAUGUACUUGUAUAUGUUUCUAUACUUGUAUCUUGCUCUCGUCUUGUUAGCACUUGUUGUGCUCUUGCGAUUGUGUACUUAUGAGUUGAUUCCUGGGUAAACUCUUGUACAUGAGCGUUUGCUUAGCCUUGGGCGGACAGGGGAGACUCUGUCCGUUCGGCGUCUGUUCGACGCGCCCGGGCCCGAACCAAAUUGGUAGCGGUCGCGGGGCGUGACAACUGUACACUUUAAUUCAUAAGCAUUCAUUACUGUCCUUUUUCAUUGAGUACUAUCUUUUCAUUCACAGGGACCUACCCAAGGUAGUCCAGCUUGCGCCGCGCCUAAUGGCCCCGUGGUAGUAUACACUCCCCACGGCAAUCCACUUCGGCACCCAAUCCCGCACGGGCGAGCAACUGUCGCGUAGGCCAACUCCGGAGUGCCAGCUUGUAGGGAGCGACCCUCACAAGCGUGUGCGAAUGAGCACGAUGGCAAGCAAGCAUAUCCACAGUCCAACAUGUCUCAGCUAUCACAAUUAGCUCACAAUAUUCUUGCUCUCGAUCCUUU
rnacentral:lncRNA from 1 species